CUGAUGGCAGUCAGAUACAUCAAGCUGCCUACCAUUUGCUCAAAGACAGUGGAGUCCACAAGUUUUCCUUCUCUAUCCUUGGUGAGUUUAAAGCCAGGAACUAUGGGAUUUGUCAUCUUUUCCAUGCCAAAUCCUUCAAUUAUUUCUUGAGCAUAUAUUUCACUUUGACUCACUUCAACACCUAGCUAGGAAAUGUCUCAUAUAUCUUAAGUUUGU
rnacentral:lncRNA from 1 species